AUUGAACGCUGGCGGCAUGCCUUACACAUGCAAGUCGAACGGCAGCACGGGAGCAAUCCUGGUGGCGAGUGGCGAACGGGUGAGUAAUAUAUCGGAACGUGCCCAGUCGUGGGGGAUAACGUAGCGAAAGCUACGCUAAUACCGCAUACGAUCUAUGGAUGAAAGCGGGGGACCGUAAGGCCUCGCGCGAUUGGAGCGGCCGAUAUCAGAUUAGGUAGUUGGUGAGGUAAAGGCUCACCAAGCCGACGAUCUGUAGCUGGUCUGAGAGGACGACCAGCCACACUGGGACUGAGACACGGCCCAGACUCCUACGGGAGGCAGCGGUGGGGAGUUUUGGACAAUGGGCGCAAGCCUGGUCCAGCAAUGCCGCGUGCAGGAUGAAGGCCUUCGGGUUGUGAACUGCUUUUGUACGGAGCGAAAAGGCUUCCACUAAUACUGGGGGCUCAUGACGGUACCGUAAGAAUAAGCACCGGCUAACUACGUGCCAGCCGCCGCGGUAAAAC
rnacentral:rRNA from 1 species